GCGGGCAGGCGGGCGGGCGUGUGAACACAAUCACUGCACUUGCGCUCUCAGCACUUGAAUGUUGUUGGGGAAGAUGAUUGUGCGACAGGACUCGGCUGGAAAAGCAAUGGCUGCCGCUUCUCUGCGAAUCCCCCAGAGCAGGCUGCACGCGCCGCCGCGUUAGCUGGUGGACGGAUUGGGAACUUCCUGCGCGUCUGCCAAAUGCAGCUUCUGUCUGGAGUCACCAGUUAAGAAGGUUUUCAUUUUAAAUCUUAAACUGCUUAGCUGUUGCCCAGUUCAAACAGUGGAGACACCGAGGACAGCUCCGAGCCCGCGGUGCAUAUAUGGAGAGGUCGUAACAGCAUACAAAGGCAUGGCCAUCCAAAGUACUCCUGGCUAGUGGGGAGGUUUGAGAUUUAACACAGAAAAACCACCCGACAGUGAGGGGCAGACUGCGAGCCUCCAGGUACAAACCGAGCGUUGGACAGGAGUGGUCAGUCGGCACGGAUGUCACCUGUCUGACAGAGAGGAGGGGGAAAAGGCCGGAGUGUGUCUGCAUCAGAACUACAGGCUGAACGAAGGACACCCUGGCAAGAAUGAGCAUGAUGUGCUCCGAGACAUCGAAGGACACAGCUCGGCGGGAACAAAAACUCUAACGUGAUGUAUGUGCUGGGAUCGCCUGGAAAAAGCCUAUAAAAAAGGUGACCAUGGUAAAGAAUAACAAUAAAAAAGCAUUGGCAAGAGCCAAUGUAUGAAACCACCGGUGGGGGAGCGAGGCAGGAGGAUUGCUGCAAGUUUAAGGCCAGGCUGCACCACACAGUGAGUGCUAGGCCAGCCUGGACUGUAGAAGGGGAUCCUGAUUGAAAAGCAAAACAAAACAAGAAGAGAAAAAAGUGACACUUUAAGAAGAUUAAUUCAAUGGCAAUGGCUGAAGUCUAGAGAAAUAUGUAAUGUAACCUACAGAUACGGUUUUUAAGGUGCUAACACUGAGUUAAAAGGAAAAACAGGUGACAUUCAUUUAAAUAUGUUAUUUACUCAGAUAGAUUUCAAUUUAAAAUUUUAAUGUACUGUGUAUGUGGCCAUGCCACAGUGCGUGUGGAGCUCAAAGGUCAGAUUUGUGGAGCCCGUUCUCUCCCUGAGUCUGACCUGGGUCAUGGUGGUAAGACUCGGGUCCCCAGGCUACACAAGCACCAUCCUGCUGGCUCUGUCCAGAUAUAGUUCUUUUAAAAACUCAAAUCAGGCAUGGUAGAAUACACAUUCCUGCGACUCCAGCACUCAAAAGGCACAGGCAGGGGUAUCUUAGGAUGGAGGCCAGCCUGGGGGUAUCUCAUGGAGACCUUGUCUCAAAAUAACCAAAUGAAGUCAGAGCAGCAAUGCUUUCAACAUGCAAUCACAAUUGAAAUGUUGGGGUCUUUUUUUUCAUGUCUGAAAUUCACUGUCCUUGUUACAGUCGAAGCCUAUUUUAAUUCUCACUAGCUAAAUACAUCAUAUGCUCAACAGCCAUACAGCUCGUGGCUCCCGUAUUGAAUACUGAAGCUCAAGUCAGAACAUAAAGUCAAAACACUGAAGAACCAGGUUCUAAGUGCCUUCAGUGUCAUACAGAGAAUGAAGGAAAGACGGGAGCAGACGUGGUAAGAGCUGACACCUAGUUAAGAAUGGCAAGUGGAGUUCAUGGUCACGUCCACACUCAACGCAAAAGCACAGACUUAAUGGUUGUUACUGCACAGCUGAGCAGUUAGUAACAGUAUAAAACGAUACAGCGGGAUUCAGACUUGCUACCCUAACAUCUGUAUAUUCUAUAGUUUAGAAAUUUCCUCAUAUAUACCAUCACCAAGGCUGAGCAGUUAGUAAUAGUAUAAAACGAUACAGCAGGAUUCAGACUUGCUACUCUAAAGUCUGUAUAUUCUGCAUAGUUUAGAAAUUUCCUCAUAUAUACCAUCACCAAGGCUGAGCAGUUAGUAACAGUAUAAAACGAUACAGCGGGAUUCAGACUUGCUACCCUAACAUCUGUAUAUCCUAUAGUUUAGAAAUUUCCUCAUAUAUACCAUUACCCAAAGCAGCUAGUAUUACAGAAGCCCCUUGGAGAUGUUAAAGGACGUGUGAAAUGUCCCAUUAUUUAAGUGUGAACCACAUUUCAGAAGUCCUAUCUCAUGCCAUUAUCAUGUUCAAAGAAAGUUUCCUUCUCAUGUGAAAGCAGGUUGAAGGCAGGGUUGAUUCCUGUUAUUCUUGUGUAUUAGCAACUGUGUUGACAAAUACAUUAAAAGAAAAAGUCUGAAAAGUUCCUUAAGUCAUUGUUUUAGACUGAAAUAUCAAAAUUAAAAUAACCUACCUGUGACUUGGGUGUUUUCCUACAAGGUAUUCCUACACUGCCCUAGCUUUGGCAUGGAGAUGCCAUGUCAACAUCUGUGAAAGGACCCUUGAAAGUUGUGGUUUAGUGGUACCUGACUUUCAAUUUUAUACACCUCAAGUAAUACUAUUAAGCAUAUCUUUGGAUAUCUGCUAGGUAGUCUCAGAAUCUAAGAGUCAAAAUAAUUCUUAUAGUCCAAUACACAAUUUUCAUGACUUGAAAAGUAGUAAUUAAAUUUCUUUUGAAAAAAUAAGAAAACAAUAUAAAGCAAAGAACAAACCAGACACAGAAUUUCAGCAUACAAAACAAUGAAACAAUUUGAUUUGGAGAGUAAAAUGGAAGACACAUAGUCCUAGUAGUAAAAUAAGGUAUGGUAGGAAUUAUUUCCCCGGAACUACAGAUUAUGAACUUUACUGUUGAUAGCAGGCAAAGGAUACAUAGAAGAAUUCAAUUCUUCUAACUGCAACACAAAGAAACAAAUUGAAUAUUAGUUUUGACAAGAUAAAUAUUAGUAGGUCACUGUAAACCAUGUUUUAAAAUAGCUUCAUGUAGGUUUUCUUUAACUGAAUGAGCAAAUUAUCUAAAAUUUUUAAAUUUUCUAGGUUGAGAAAUUCCUUUUUAUAAAAUAACUAUGAAGUAGCUGCAGCCUGAAUGGAAGAACUUAGAGGGGAAGCAAAUGCUGAAGACUAGAGCUGUGCAAGUGUUCUUAGAAUCACCUAUAAUGGCAGUAAUCUCUACUGUUUGUUAUUCCUUUCUGAAAGAGUCUCUAACAAAAUAUCAUUAAAUUAGUGGUUUGUAGAAAAACCCACUUCUAAUGGCUCUCGAGACCAGCCAUCCACGAUUAAGAAGCCAACAGAGCCCGUGUCUGGCUAACAGAACAGCACCUUGUACUAUGUCCUCACAAAAGGGAAGCAGUGGGGUGUCUCUUUCCAGCCUCUUUUCCCAGGAUACUAAACUCGCUCUUGACCUAAUUACCUUCCAAAGACCUGUCUCUUGGUGCACCGCCUUCAGGGGGAGAACUUGAAAGUAUGAUUUCUAGAAGGAUACAGACAUUCAGACCACACUAUCUUUAACUUUAGAUGGAGAAAUAUAAAGUACAGAAAUGCUGAGUCUGUAGCUUAGUGGUGGAGUGCUUGUCUUGCAUUCAUGAGGCCCUCGGCUUAAUCUCCAGUAACUCAAAACAGUUUCAAAAAGAAAAGAAGGUAAGUAGGUAGGUUAACUAGACUUGGUAACGAAGUUCACUGUUACCAAGAAGAACACUGAUGUGAGCCUUGCACUAUGCCUCCUGGCUUCAAAUUCAGUGUCUUUUUUGCCCAGAUACAGCAUUUUCCUAAAUGCACCAAAAGUGCAGAAAUUAAGCUUCUAUUUAAUAGAAAUAAAGCACAAAGCAUGAACUUGUGACACUGAAUGUUAUAUGGCAGACUUGACGUUUAAAAGAACAGGCUUGAAGGGAUUUUUGUUUGUUUCUGCGAGAGGUCUCAUGUACAUGAGGCUAACCUUGAACUCCUGUUCCUCCUCAUCCAGUUCCCAAGUGCUCGGAUUACAAGCAUGCACUGCUAAUCUUCUAGGCUUAAAGCUUGAAGAGCGUGGGUAGACACCAGGAGGAGGUGGCGCAGACCUUUAAUCCCAGCACUUAGGAGGCAGAGGAGGUUGGCUGAGUUUGAGGCCAGCCUGGUCUACAGAAUGACUUCCAAGAAAGCCUGAACUACAUCGGGAAACCCUGUGUUGACAGCUGCCUCAUAUUUAUUUAAAUUAAAAAAAAAAAAAAAAA